AGAGAGAGAGAGAGAGAGGGUGGAGGGGUGUCCUUCUUUCUAACAAACAAACUGGGGCCAUGCAAUGAAAAGCAUUCAGCAUGUGGCCAGUCCAUAGAGACACAGGAGUGCGUCUCUUUCACUGCUGUGGACACACACACACACACACACACACA